ensembl:lncRNA
GUCAUGGACUGUAAGUUGAGUAGUGGUGGUCACAGUGUAUAUAGUAGACAUGGACUGUAAGUUGAGUAGUGGUGGUCACAGUGUAUAUGGCAGUCAUGGACUGUAAGUUGGAGUAGUGGUGGUCACAGUGUAUAUAGUAGACAUGGACUGUAAGUUGGAAUAGUGGUGGUCACAGUGUAUAUGGCAGUCAUGGACUGUAAGUUGGAAUAGUGGUGGUCACAGUGUAUAUGGCAGUCAUGGACUGUAAGUUGAGUAGUGGUGGUCACAGUGUAUAUGUUAGUCAUGGACUGUAAGUUGGAGUAGUGGUGGUCACAGUGUAUAUAGUAGACAUGGACUGUAAGUUGGAUAGUGGUGGUCACAGUGUAUAUAGUAGACAUGGACUGUAAGUUGAGUAGUGGUGGUCACAGUGUAUAUAGUAGACAUGGACUGUAGGUUGGAGUAGUGGUGGUCACAGUGUAUAUGGUAGUCAUGGACUGUAAGUUGAGUAGUGGUGGUCACAGUGUAUAUAGUAGACAUGGACUGUAAGUUGGAAUAGUGGUGGUCACAGUGUAUAUGGUAGUCAUGGACUGUAAGUUGAGUAGUGGUGGUCACAGUGUAUAUGGUAGUCAUGGACUGUAAGUUGAGUAGUGGUGGUCACAGUGUAUAUAGUAGACAUGGACUGUAAGUUGAGUAGUGGUGGUCACAGUGUAUAUGGUAGUCAUGGACUGUAAGUUGAGUAGUGGUGGUCACAGUGUAUAUAGUAGACAUGGACUGUAAGUUGGAAUAGUGGUGGUCACAGUGUAUAUGGUAGUCAUGGACUGUAAGUUGAGUAGUGGUGGUCACAGUGUAUAUGGUAGUCAUGGACUGUAAGUUGAGUAGUGGUGGUCACAGUGUAUAUAGUAGACAUGGACUGUAAGUUGGAGUAGUGGUGGUCACAGUGUAUAUGGUAGUCAUGGACUGUAAGUUGAGUAGUGGUGGUCACAGUGUAUAUGGCAGCCAUGGACUGUAAGUUGGAGUAGGUGUGGUCACAGUGUAUAUAGUAGACAUGGACUGUAAGUUGGAGUAGUGGUGGUCACAGUGUAUAUGGUAGUCAUGGACUGUAAGUUGAGUAGUGGUGGUCACAGUGUAUAUGGCAGCCAUGGACUGUAAGUUGAGUAGGUGUG